rnacentral:tRNA from 1 species
ACGGGCGUAGCGGGCCGAUUGCCGGUAGCGCUGGUCGCUGUCGAUGAAGUCGAUAUAGGACGGUGCCAACCCGUCUGCUUGUC